rnacentral:rRNA from 1 species
AUUGAACGCUGGCGGCAGGCCUAACACAUGCAAGUCGAGCGAGUGGCGGACGGGUGAGUAAUGUAUGGGGAUCUGCCCGAUAGAGGGGGAUAACUACUGGAAACGGUGGCUAAUACCGCAUACUAUCGGAUGACCCCAUAUGGGAUUAGCUAGUAGGUGGGGUAAUGGCUCACCUAGGCGACGAUCUCUAGCUGGUCUGAGAGGAUGACCAGCAACACGGGGACUGAGACACGGCCCAGACUCCUACGGGAGGCAGCAGGGGGGAAUAUUGCACAAUGGGCGCAAGCCUGAUGCAGCCAUGCCGCGUGUAUGAAGAAGGCCUUAGGGUUGUAAAGUACUUUCAGCGGGGAGGCGUUACCCGCAGAAGAAGCACCGGCUAACUCCGUGCCAGCCGCCGCGGUAAUUC